rnacentral:rRNA from 1 species
ACGCUGGCGGCAGGCCUAACACAUGCAAGUCGAGCGGUAGAGAGAAGCUUGCUUCUCUUGAGAGCGGCGGACGGGUGAGUAAUGCCUAGGAAUCUGCCUGGUAGUGGGGGAUAACGUUCGGAAACGGACGCUAAUACCGCAUACGUCCUACGGGAGAAAGCAGGGGACCUUCGGGCCUUGCGCUAUCAGAUGAGCCUAGGUCGGAUCAGCUAGUUGGUGAGGUAAUGGCUCACCAAGGCGACGAUCCGUAACUGGUCUGAGAGGAUGAUCAGUCACACUGGAACUGAGACACGGUCCAGACUCCUACGGGAGGCAGCAGUGGGGAAUAUUGGACAAUGGGCGAAAGCCUGAUCCAGCCAUGCCGCGUGUGUGAAGAAGGUCUUCGGAUUGUAAAGCACUUUAAGUUGGGAGGAAGGGUUGUAGAUUAAUACUCUGCAAUUUUGACGUUACCGACAGAAUAAGCACCGGCUAACUCUGUGCCAGCAGCCGCGGUAAUACAGAGGGUGCAAGCGUUAAUCGGAAUUACUGGGCGUAAAGCGCGCGUAGGUGGUUUGUUAAGUUGGAUGUGAAAUCCCCGGGCUCAACCUGGGAACUGCAUUCAAAACUGACUGACUAGAGUAUGGUAGAGGGUGGUGGAAUUUCCUGUGUAGCGGUGAAAUGCGUAGAUAUAGGAAGGAACACCAGUGGCGAAGGCGACCACCUGGACUAAUACUGACACUGAGGUGCGAAAGCGUGGGGAGCAAAC